GAUGAACGCUGGCGGCGUGCCUAAUACAUGCCAGUCGAGCGAACGGACGAGGAGCUUGCUCCUCUGACGUUAGCGGCGGACGGGUGAGUAACACGUGGAUAACCUACCUAUAAGACUGGGAUAACUUCGGGAAACCGGAGCUAAUACCGGAUAAUAUAUUGAACCGCAUGGUUCAAUAGUGAAAGACGGUUUUGCUGUCACUUAUAGAUGGAUCCGCGCCGCAUUAGCUAGUUGGUAAGGUAACGGCUUACCAAGGCGACGAUGCGUAGCCGACCUGAGAGGGUGAUCGGCCACACUGGAACUGAGACACGGUCCAGACUCCUACGGGAGGCAGCAGUAGGGAAUCUUCCGCAAUGGGCGAAAGCCUGACGGAGCAACGCCGCGUGAGUGAUGAAGGUCUUCGGAUCGUAAAACUCUGUUAUUAGGGAAGAACAAAUGUGUAAGUAACUAUGCACGUCUUGACGGUACCUAAUCAGAAAGCCACGGCUAACUACGUG
rnacentral:rRNA from 1 species